CUUGUUUCCUAGCUUCCUCAUACACUUACCACUCUUUUUCGUAUUAUAAGCUCAAAUAAAUUUUGGAAAAUUUCAGCAAUGUCAACGGAGCAACCGGCACAAUUAUUUGAAAUUUUUGUGGACCCAUGUUUGCAAAAACCAGAUCAUUUUCCUCAAGUUGAAUUUCUUACUUCCAAGACAGAUUUUGCACCUGACAGGAAAAAAAGAGAUCACUCCCGUGCCUUGUGUUUAGCUGUACUUAACGGUGACUGGAAAAUUGCUAAGCAGUUCAUCGAUAAAGAUCGUGGCAUGCUUUAUGCUAGAUUGACAAAAGCAUGGGAUACAGUGAUUCACAUAGCGGUUCAUUUCAAAAUGCAUAUCUUUUGUAAAAGAACUGGUGGAAUAUGGGACUGGGGAAGAUCUAGCUAUAGAAAACAUAAAUAAAGACACAGGCCUUAGUAUUGCUGCUGUAUCUGGAAUGGUCGAAAUUGCAAAGUUAAUGAUAGAAAAGAAUAAUAAACUGACAAUGAAACGUGGUACUAGGCCUUUGAUACCCUUUGGCAUGGCAGCUGAAGUUGGACAUAAGGAAAUGGCAGAAUAUCUCUACUCGAAGACUGAAUUUGACAGUCUAGAUCAUUGUGAACGAAUUAGGCUGUUUUUUCUUACCCUUUCCAGCAAUUUGUAUGGUUUUGCAUUGGAUAUGCUGCGUAAAUAUCCUACAAUGGCUUGUGAACAAGAUGAUAAUAAUAAUGGGAAAACAGCUUUGCAUGUGUUGGCUCAAAAGGCUACACACAUUGCCAACGGCAGUCCCCUAAAGAUCGUGGCAAGAUACACCAGCUUGUGUACGCUUUUCUAAACCUGGUCCAAUUCUCACAAUAGAUAUUUAGUGUUUAGCAUAAUGCAUACUCUUAAGUUCCCAACUCAGAGUAAACAUUUCUACCCCAUUAUAAUUAGGGAAAUUAUUGUUUCUUAACUUCACUAUAUUCACACUUUUCACACUAGGUGUCCACAAUUUCCAAGCAAUAUUUACAUUCUACUCAUGAUGUAAAACAGUGUGGACACUGUUGGAUGUAAAAUAUUUUUGUAAAAUAACAGAGAGUAGAGAGAAACUGAAA